rnacentral:rRNA from 1 species
UACGGAGGGUGCAAGCGUUAAUCGGAAUUACUGGGCGUAAAGCGCUCGUAGGCGGAUCGGACAGUCGGUGAAGAAAGACCCGGGCUCAACUCGGGGAACGGCACCGAUACUAUCGAUCUUGAGGCAAUCAGAGGGUGAUGGAAUUCCCGGUGUAGCGGUGAAAAUGCGUAGAUAUCGGGAGGAACACCAGUGGCGAAGGCGACUUCCUGGCCUGUUCUUUG